AGUGAACGCUGGCGGUAGGCCUAACACAUGCAAGUCGAACGGCAGCACAGUAAGAGCUUGCUCUUACGGGUGUCGAGUGGCGGACGGGGCAGGUAUACAUCGGAAUCUACUCUUUCGUGGGUGCUAACGUAGGGAAACUUACGCUAAUACCGCAUACGACCUACGGGUGAAAGCAGGGGAUCUUCUGACCUUGCGCGAUUGAAUGAGCCGAUGUCGGAUUAGCUAGUUGGCGGGGCAAAGGCGAACCAAGGCGACGAUCCGUAGCAGGUCUGAGAGGGUGGUAACACACACUGGAACUGAGAAACGGUCCCGACUCCUACGGGAGGCCGCGGUGCGGACUCUUACGCGAUGCGGCAAUGCCUGAUCCUGCACUACCGCGUGAGUGAUGAAGGAGUUCGGGCUGUUAAGCCCUUAUGUUGGGAAAGAAGAGCAGCAGUUUAAUCCCCCGCUGUUAUGACGGUACCCAAAGAAUAAGCACCGGCUAACUUCGUG
rnacentral:rRNA from 1 species